GUCCACGCCCUAAACGAUGAAUACUCGGUGUCGGGUCGCAAGAUUCGGCGCCUAAGCAAACGCAUUAAGUAUUCCACCUGGGAAGUACGAUCGCAAGGUUGAAACUCAAAGGAAUUGACGGGGCCCGCACAAGCAGUGGAGCAUGUGGUUUAAUUCGAUGAUACGCGAGGAACCUUACCCGGGCUUGAAAGUUAGUGAAUGUACCAGAGAUGGUACAGUGAGCAAUCACACGAAACUAGGUGCUGCAUGGCUGUCGU
rnacentral:rRNA from 1 species